rnacentral:rRNA from 1 species
GACGAACGCUGGCGGCGUGCUUAACACAUGCAAGUCGAGCGGUAAGGCCCUUUCGGGGGUACACGAGCGGCGAACGGGUGAGUAACACGUGGGUGACCUGCCCUUAGCUCUGGGAUAAGCCUGGGAAGCUGGGUCUAAUACCGGAUAUGACUCCAUAACGCAUGUUGUGGGGUGGAAAGCCUUGUGCGGCUAGGGAUGGGGCCCGCGGCCUAUCAGCUUGUUGGUGGGGUGAUGGCCUACCAAGGCGACGACGGGUAGCCGGCCUGAGAGGGCGACCGGCCACACUGGGACUGAGACACGGCCCAGACUCCUACGGGAGGCAGCAGUGGGGAAUCUUGCGCAAUGGGCGAAAGCCUGGCGCAGCGACGCCGCGU